CCUGUGAAGACAGAGACGUUCCAGAACUGAACAGUGGCUAAUGGAAACACUGCCUUCCAGCCUGCACCAACCAUGCAUGCAAUCUUCAUUGUGGAAAAAUCAGAGAUCCCAACAAACCUCUGCCACUUUGUCCCUACAUAAGACCCAGAGUCUUCAGCACAGCAAUACCACUCUGGAUGAACCAAAUCUGCACACAGCAGAAGAAAAUCAACUACUGAUUAAUCUACUGUCCCCUCCCGUCUGCGUGUACCUUACAGUUUCCUAAUCUUUCUGCAUGUAAAACCUCUCA